rnacentral:rRNA from 1 species
GACGAACGCUGGCGGCGUGCCUAACACAUGCAAGUCGAACGGAAAGGCCCUGCUUUUGUGGGGUGCUCGAGUGGCGAACGGGUGAGUAACACGUGAGUAACCUGCCCUUGACUUUGGGAUAACUUCAGGAAACUGGGGCUAAUACCGGAUAGGAGCUCCUGCUGCAUGGUGGGGGUUGGAAAGUUUCGGCGGUUGGGGAUGGACUCGCGGCUUAUCAGCUUGUUGGUGGGGUAGUGGCUUACCAAGGCUUUGACGGGUAGCCGGCCUGAGAGGGUGACCGGCCACAUUGGGACUGGGAAGCGGCCCGGACGCCUACGGGAGGCAGCAGUGGAGAAUAGUGCACAAUGGGCGGAAGCCGGAUGGAGCAACGCCGCGUGCGAGAUGACGGCCUUCGGGUUGUAAACCGCUUUCGCCUGUGACGAAGCGUGAGGGACGGUAAUGGGUAAAGAGGCACCGGCUAACUACGU